rnacentral:rRNA from 1 species
UACGUAGGGUGCAAGCGUUAAUCGGAAUUACUGGGCGUAAAGCGUGCGCAGGCGGUUCGCUGUGUCCGAUGUGAAAGCCCCGGGCUUAACCUGGGAAUGGCAUUGGAAACUGGCGAGCUGGAGUGUGGCAGAGGGGGGUGGAAUUCCGCGUGUAGCAGUGAAAUGCGUAGAGAUGCGGAGGAACACCGAUGGCGAAGGCAGCCCCCUGGGUUAACACUGACGCUCAGGCACGAAAGCGUGGGGAGCAAACAGG